UACGGGGGGGCAAGGCGUUGUUCGGAAUUACUGGGCGUAAAGGGCGCGUAGGCGGCCUUCUAAGUCAGACGUGAAAUCCCCAGGCUUAACUUGGGAACUGCGUCUGAUACUGGAGGGCUCGAGUGCGGGAGAGGGAUGUGGAAUUCCAGGUGUAGCGGUGAAAUGCGUAGAUAUCUGGAGGAACACCGGUGGCGAAGGUCGGCAUCCUGGACCGACACUGACGCUGAGGCGCGAAAGCUAGGGGAGCAACGGGG
rnacentral:rRNA from 1 species